GUCUUUGUCUCGUUUCUCCGGGCUUCCCAGACGGAUGGCAACAACAUCCCACACAGAGACUUCUGGAGGAGCUUUUGCAAAGAGCAUCCACAGGCUGGCCGCUCCGGAGAAAAAAAGUUACCCAGCAAACAGCAAUUCAGCAUUUCUCGGUGUGGAAGCUUGUCAACCUCCCAAUUAUACUUGGCUUAUGCACAGGCUGUGGCGCUGCAAUUCUCCUCUCAACAAAGGGAAGCGGCACUCUGGGGGUGGGAAGAAAGCCCCACCGCCACCACCGCCACCCAGCACACCAACUGACACGUCAACAGAGCUGUCCAAACUCGGUGGAAGGGUUUCAAAACAAAGAGAGGGCUUUUCAGCAGCAGCACACUGGCACCGCUGUUCGAAUGCCAUUCAGCUCUGGGGUGACCUCAUGAGCAGGGCUUAAAGCUUUAUUUGCUCAGGUGGGACGAAACAGACAUGGCGUGAUCAUGUGGAGCAACAGGGAGACUUUUUAGAAUUCAGACUGUCAGCUCCGGCACCCAAACAAAAGUGACCGGCAUGCAGAAAUAAAGCGCUCCCUGCCAGAUUACAUCAUCCCAUUUCUUUCUCCCUGCACAAUGCAUUCCACUCCCUCUCCUAUUAAACUGGAGGUGGGAAAUCCAUUUUGGUUCUGUGUUGCACCAUAAACUCAAGCAGAUAUGUGCCUA